GCGAUUAUAGUUUAACGGUUAGAAUACCUCGUUGUGGCCGAGGAGAUGGAAGUUCGAUUCCUCCUAAUCGCA